GAUGAACGCUGGCGGCGUGCCUAAUACAUGCAAGUCGAGCGAACAGACGAGGCGCUUGCUCCUCUGACGUUAGCGGCGGACGGGUGAGUAACACGUGGAUAACCUACCUAUAAGACUGGGAUAACUUCGGGAAACCGGAGCUAAUACCGGAUAAUAUAUUGAACCGCAUGGUUCAAUAGUGAAAGACGGUUUUGCUGUCACUUAUAGAUGGAUCCGCGCCGCAUUAGCUAGUUGGUAAGGUAACGGCUUACCAAGGCGACGAUGCGUAGCCGACCUGAGAGGGUGAUCGGCCACACGAGAACGGAGACACGGUCAAGACUCCUACGGGAGGCAGCAGUAGGGAAUCGUCCGCAAUGGGCGAAAGCAUGACGGAGCAAGGCGGCGUGAGUGAUGAAGGUCUUCGGAGCGUAAAACUCUGUUAUUAGGGAAGAACAAAUGUGUAAGUAAAUAUGCACGUCUUGACGGUAACGAAUCAGAAAGCCACGGCUAACUACGUG
rnacentral:rRNA from 1 species